ensembl:lncRNA
CUCAUAGGGCACUCAUAGGGCUCUCAUUGGGCACCCACAGGGCACUCAUUGGGCACCCAUAGGGCUCUCAUAGGGCACCCAUAGGGCACUCAUUGGGCACCCAUAGGGCACUCAUUGGGCACCCAUAGGGCACUCAUAGGGCACUCAUUGGGCACCCAUAGGGCUCUCAUAGGGCACCCAUGGGACACUCAUAGGGCACCCAUAGGACACUCAUAGGACACCCAUAGGACACCCAUAGGACACUCAUAGGGCACCCAUAGGGCACUCAUUGAGCACCCACAGGGCACCCAUAGGGCACUCAUUGAGCACCCACAGGGCACCCAUAGGGCACUCAUAAGGCACCCAUAGGGCUCCCACAGGGCACUCAUAGGGCACUCACUCAUAGGGCACCCAUAGGGCUCUCAUAGGGCACCCAUAGGGCACCCAUAGGGCACUCAUAGGGCACCCAUAGGGCUCUCAUAGGCCCUCAUAGGGCAUCCAUUGGGCACCCAUAGGGCACUCAUAGGGCACCAAAAGGGCACUCAUAGGGCACCCAUAGGGCACUCAUUGGGCACCCAUAGGGCUCUCAUAGGUUAUUCAUAGGGCACCCAUAGGGCACUCAUAAGGCACUCACUCAUAGGGCACCCAUAGGGCACUCAUAGGGCACACAUAGGGCACGAAUAGGGCACCCAUAGGGCUCCCAUAGGGCACUCACUGGCACUGAUUGACACCCAUAGGGCACCCAUAGGGCUCUCAUAGGGCACUCAUUGUCCCUCAAAGGGCGCCCAUAGGGCACUCAUUGGCAAUUAUUGGGCACCCAUAGGGCACUCAUUGGGCACCCAUCGGGCUCCUGCUGUGCCCUCCCCCCCAUCCCUAACCCAACCCCCCUCACUCACCUUUUCUCCACCUUCCACCCCGUCCUGCUCCCCUCAGCAGCUCCCUCAGCUCCGUCUCCGCCGUCCCCACGACGUCCCCGAAGCCGGUCACGGCGGCUCCGCAUCCCCGGCUCCGUAUCCACACUCCGUGUCUCCGCGCCAGCAGCUCUACGCACACCGACGGCACCCGCGGCAGCGCCCGGUCCCUCACCAGCACCGUCCGCAGCUCGGCACGUAGCGCCGCCCGCAGCGCCGCCGCCGCCGCCACCCCAUCCCGCUCCGAAACGGCGACCAAACGAAGCUCAGCGCGGUCAGACGCCGCCGCCCGAAGGGAGCAAUCCAGGGAGGAUGUGGUGGAAGAGAGGGGGAGAGUAGGGGGGAGAUGUGGGGAUGGGUGGGUUUCAUCUUCAUCUUCAUCAUCGUCAUCAUCGUCAUCAUCAUCAUCAUCAUCCUCCUCUUUCUUGUCCUUCAUAGAGAGCUGUAGUACCAUUGCCAGUUGGGCUUCCUCCUCACCAUCAUCAUCCUCUUUCUUUUCCAUUAUGGAGCGCUGCAUUGCCAUGGCCAGCUGUGCUUCUUCCUCCUCCUCUUCCUCCUCUUCCUCCUUGUCCCUUAUGGAGCAUUGCAGUGCCAACAUCAGCUGUGCUUCCUCCUCAUCCUCCUCCUCCUCCUCCUCCUCCUUGUCCCUUAUGGACUGUUGCAGUGCCAUGGCCAGCUGUGCUUCCUCUUCNNNNNNNNNNNNNNNNNNNNNNNNNGGGCAUCCCUGUUAUGGUAAUCCCAUAGUAGAGUCAAAACUCAUUGGAGUCACGGGGCCAU